UACGUAGGGUGCGAGCGUUAAUCGGAAUUACUGGGCGUAAAGCGUGCGCAGGCGGUUUUGUAAGACAGAUGUGAAAGCCCCGGGCUUAACCUGGGAACUGCGUUUGAAACUGGGAGACUUGAGUGUGGCAGAGGGGGGUGGAAUUCCACGUGUAGCAGUGAAAUGCGUAGAUAUGUGGAGGAACACCGAUGGCGAAGGCAGCCCCCUGGGCCUGCACUGACGCUCAUGCACGAAAGCGUGGGGAGCAAACAGG
rnacentral:rRNA from 1 species